rnacentral:rRNA from 1 species
CGACUAGAGUUUGAUCCUGGCUCAGAACGAACGCUGGCGGCGUGCCUAACACAUGGCAAGUCGAGCGAGAAAGGGGGGGCAAACCCCCUGAGUAGAGCGGCGCACGGGUGAGUAACGCGUGGGUAACCUACCCCCGCGGGGGAUAACCACUCGAAAGGGUGGCUAAUACCGCAUGAGACCACGGGGUCUUCGGAUCCUGAGGCCAAAGGCUGCAUCGGCUUGCCGGUGUAGUCACCGGAGGAUGGGCCCGCGUCCGAUUAGCUGGUUGGCGAGGUAACGGCUCACCAAGGCUACGAUCGGUAGCUGGUCUGAGAGGAUGAUCAGCCACACUGGAACUGGAACACGGUCCAGACUCCUACGGGAGGCAGCAGUGAGGAAUAUUGCGCAAUGGGGGAAACCCUGACGCAGCAACGCCGCGUGGGUGAAGAAGGCCUUCGGGUCGUAAAGCCCUUUCGGACGGGACGAACGCUCCGCGGGGACAAGCCGCGGAGUCUGACGGUACCGUAGGAAGAAGCACCGGCUAACUCCGUGCCAGCAGCCGCGGUAA